AUCAAGAAGAUCUACAUUGUGAUCUACAGUGGAACCUCGGAAGCUGAAUGUUGCACCUCCCAAACUCCGACAAACUAGAAAUGAAUGCUUCUAUUUUCAAACGUGCCUCAAGGCAUGUUUCUCUUUCUGAAUGGGGCUUGCUGACUGCCCCAUUGAGUCCCAGUUUUUGAACAUUUCUUUUUUCCCCCUUCUUAAUUUUAUUCCCUUUUCUUUCCGACUUUAAAAGCAAACCUCCAGUGUUCACACAAAUUUGGCUGCCUUGACCAAAGAUUCAGCUGUUUCCAGCCUAAAAGUAGCUGUCCCUCUCCAGCAGAAAUCCAAGGCUGUUCACGAAAAGUACCCCCUUUACAGACAAUACGGACUCCAUCUUCGGAAUUUGAGGAGCAAAGAUACGGUCCAACAGUACCUGCAGGCCCUCUUCCAGUUACCUAGACAAUUCCUAAUUCCAUCUCCGAGUGGCAUGGAACAGAGGUCUCUAGCAGAGAUUUGCAUCAGAAAAAACCAAGCCUCCGGGCUUAGGGCUGGUAAACAAGCAAACAGCAUCUUGACUCUCAAAUUCCCCGCUGAGAGCCGUUUUUGAACAUUUCAGAAGUUGAACAGGCUUCCGGAAUGCAUUAUCUCCCCUCUGCUAGAAAAGGCAAAAAAUAAAGUGGACCCCUUCUUCUGG